rnacentral:rRNA from 1 species
GGGCGACACACACGCUACAAUGGGUGGUACAGUAGGUAGCGAAGGAGCGAUCCGGAGCAAAUCCUUAAAACCAUCCUCAGUACGGAUUGCAGGCUGAAACCCGCCUGCAUGAAGCCGGAGUUGCUAGUAACCGCAUAUCAGCAUGGUGCGGUGAAUACGUUCUCGGGCCUU